UACGGAGGGUGCUAGCGUUGUUCGGAAUUACUGGGCGUAAAGCGCGCGUAGGCGGAGAUCCAAGUCGGGGGUGAAAUCCCGGGGCUCAACCCCGGAACUGCCUCCGAUACUGGUUCUCUGGAGGACGGGAGAGGCGAGUUGAAUGCCGAGUGUAGAGGUGAAAUUCGUAGAUAUUCGGCGGAACACCCGUGGCGAAGGCGGCUCGCUGGUCCGUUUCUGACGCUGAGGCGCGAAAGCGUGGGGAGCAAACAGG
rnacentral:rRNA from 1 species